rnacentral:rRNA from 1 species
GAUGAACGCUAGCUACAGGCUUAACACAUGCAAGUCGAGGGGAAACGACAUCGAAAGCUUGCUUUUGAUGGGCGUCGACCGGCGCACGGGUGAGUAACGCGUAUCCAACCUGCCCAUCACUUGGGAAUAACCUUGCGAAAGUAAGACUAAUACCCAAUGACAUCCCACGAAGACAUCUGAAUGGGAUUAAAGAUUUAUCGGUGAUGGAUGGGGAUGCGUCUGAUUAGCUUGUUGGCGGGGUAACGGCCCACCAAGGCAACGAUCAGUAGGGGUUCUGAGAGGAAGGGCCCCCCAAUUGGAACUGAGACACGGUCCAAACUCCUACGGGAGGAAGAAGUGGGGAAUAUUGGUCAAGGGGGGAGAGCCUGAACCAGCCAAGUAGCGUGAAGGAUGACGGCCUUAUGGGUUUUAAACUUCUUUUAAAAGGGAAUAAAGUGGGUUUCGUGAGACUUUUUGCAUGUACUUUUUGAAUAAGGACCGGCUAAUUCCGU